CCUACGGGAGACAGCAGUGAGGAAUAUUGGUCAAUGGGCGAGAGCCUGAACCAGCGAAGUAGCGUGAAGGAUGACUGCCCUAUGGGUUGUAAGCUUCUUUUAUAAGGGAGUAAAAUGAGGCACGUGUGCCUUUUUGUAUGUACUUUAUGAAUAAGGAUCGGCUAACUCCGUGCCAGCAGCCGCGGUAAUACGGAGGAUCCGAGCGGUAUGCGGUUUUAUUGGGUUUAAAGGGAGCGUAGAUGGGUUGUUAAGUCAGUUGUGAAAGUUUGCGGCUCAACCGUAAAAUUGCAAUUGAUACUGGCAAGCUUGAGUACAGUAGAGGUAGGCGGAAUUCGUGGUGUAGCGGUGAAAUGCUUAGAUAUCACGAAGAACCCCGAUUGCGAAGGCAGCUUACUGGACUGUAACUGACAUUGAGGCUCGAAAGUGUGGGUAUCAAACAGGAUUAGAUACCCUUGUAGUC
rnacentral:rRNA from 1 species